rnacentral:rRNA from 1 species
AUUGAACGCUGGCGGAAUGCUUUACACAUGCAAGUCGAACGGCAGCACGGGGCAACCUGGUGGCGAGUGGCGAACGGGUGAGUAAUACAUCGGAACGUGCCCAAUCGUGGGGGAUAACGUAGCGAAAGUUGCGCUAAUACCGCAUACGAUCUACGGAUGAAAGCGGGGGAUCGCAAGACCUCGCGCGAAUGGAGCGGCCGAUGGCAGAUUAGGUAGUUGGUGGGGUAAAGGCUCACCAAGCCAGCGAUCUGUAGCUGGUCUGAGAGGACGACCAGCCACACUGGGACUGAGACACGGCCCAGACUCCUACGGGAGGCAGCAGUGGGGAAUUUUGGACAAUGGGCGCAAGCCUGAUCCAGCCAUUCCGCGUGCAGGAUGAAGGCCUUCGGGUUGUAAACUGCUUUUGUACGGAACGAAACGGCUCUCUCUAAUACGGGGGGCUAAUGACUGUACCCACAGAAGAAGCCCCGGCUAACUCCGUGCCAGCCGCCGCCGUAACAC